rnacentral:rRNA from 1 species
CCUACGGGAGGCAGCAGUGAGGAAUAUUGGUCAAUGGGCGAAAGCCUGAACCAGCCAAGUCGCGUGAGGGAUGAAGGUUCUAUGGAUCGUAAACCUCUUUUAUAAGGGAAUAAAGUGCGGGACGUGUCCCGUUUUGUAUGUACCUUAUGAAUAAGGAUCGGCUAACUCCGUUCCAGCAGCCGCGGUAAUACGGAGGAUCCGAGCGUUAUCCGGAUUUAUUGGGUUUAAAGGGUGCGUAGGCGGCCUUGUAAGUCAGCGGUGAAAAUCUGUGGCUCAACCAGUGAAUUGCCGUUGAAACUGGGAGGAUUGAGUAUGUUUGAGGCAGGCGGAAUGCGUGGUGUAGCGGUGAAAUGCUUAGAUAUCACGCAGAACCCCGAUUGCGAAGGCAGCCUGCCAAGCCAUGACUGACGCUGAUGCACGAAAGCGUGGGGAUCAAACAGGAUUAGAUACCCUAGUAGUC